GAGAAGGCAGAAGUGAAAGAUGUUUGAUGGGAAACAAAAACAUGACCAGCAGGCUCCGGAAUUAAAGCGAAAAUAAAGACAAGCAGAAGGAUAAAGAAAUGACAUUUAAAAAAAAAAAAGAAGCUUGAAAAAAAGGUCAAGGAAACAAGUAGGUGACUUAGCUACGGGCUGUAAAAAAGGAAAGACAGACAAGAGAGAGACAUCCACUCAGAUGCAUGACAUCAAUCACCAUUUGAGGAGAGACAAGAGCUUCUCCAAUCAGGCAGGAUGAUUACAACCAUACGGGUUUGGCCAGUCCCAGGAGCCACCCACAAACACAGAACAACCCCCAACACACCUACACAAACACUUCAUGACACCAGCCCAAACCCUAGGCUCCCUGCACCAAAGCAGAAGCCUCUAGGAAAAAACAGCAACCACAGGAUCCUGCUAACACAGAUGCCGGACUGGUCUUCAACAUGCAAUCCUCAACACCCACCCGAACCCCCACCCCGCCUCCAAGGGGUCCCAGCCACCUGCAUUCCUCCGUGGACCCACACAAGGACUCUGCUUUUUUGCACGUGCGGGGCCAGCUCUUCAACCUGGAAUGCCCUGCCUCCUCUCAUUCUCCAACUGGCAAAGUCAAUCAUUUCUUAGGACUCUGUGAAGCCUUGCCUUCCUCCCUCCCUUCCCGCAGGACAGAUGUCGUUUCCUUUCCGGGGGAUUCCACUUUGUACACAGGUUUACCAUAGGUGUUCCACCUCUACUGUAAUUGUCCUUUCUUAGUCUGCCCCUCCUGUUAGACUGUGAGCUCUUAGAGGGAAGGGCUGUUGGACUGUGACUUAGUCAUCUUUGUCUCCCCAGCCACUGCCUCAAUAAAUG